rnacentral:tRNA from 2 species
GCACUUAGUAUAAUCGGCAGUAUACGGACUUCUAAUCAGUAGGUUAUAGGUUCAAGUCCUAUCUGGUGCGCCA